AUCCAACUGACGAGUCUGAAAUAAGACGACAUGCAUAUCCUGGAU
rfam:Schistosoma haematobium scaffold172_14, whole genome shotgun sequence.